AUAUUUUAUAACAAUACAUUUACAUUAUGUGAAGAAAAAUACUAUAAAUUAUCAUUUUCUAUAAAUUUAUAGGCAUUAAAAACAUGGAAUGAACAAUCUUUUGUUUGCGACACAAUGUUUGUGUUAUUUAGUAGGGACAAUGUUUCCACAACGGAUGAGGGAAAUGAAAUGUUGGAGCGUGAAGACUCUUGUGCAGUGCAAUGUUGGGAAAAUUGCAGAGCAAUUCAUGAAACUUCUUCAGUUCUCCCCAUUUAUGAAAUUUCAUUGCGAAUUAGCCGUCCAGUUGAACAAUCUUCUUCUUUGCCCUAACAGAUCGUUAUCGUGCCCUUGAAAGGUGUCUGAUUGAAGUCGUCAAUGAGUCUCGCUGCAGAACAACUGAAUGCAUGAAGAUGUGAUGAACAUAAACACAGUGGAAGUGAAAAGUGGGUCAACCUACCUCAGGAACAAUGAGCCAACUGUAGAGAAAGGAGGCAAGUAGAGAUGAAAAGCAGCAGAAGAUCAAAGGACAACAAAGGAGAGCGCUACAGAACUGGACUAAUUAGCAGAAUUUUCCAAGGGACAACUGCUACAAACAGAUCAAAGUGAAUACCAAAAUGUGACACACCUAUUAGGGAUAUGUCGUCAUCAACUGUUCAUGGUGAAGUUCGACCCAGCAUAAAUUAUCAAGUAUAUAUGUUUGUCUGUUUGAUUUUCAGUAGACAACAGCCAGCUGCGAAUAGAAGAAUUCGUUUUUUACUGCUUGGCAAUCUUAAACCACUCAGUAUGGAUGGAUCCUUCCAUGUCGAUUCUUUCAUACGUAUGGGCUCCAAAAUAAUCUCGUUGAGCUUGGAUCAAAUUAGCAGGCAACCUAGCCCUUCUGUAGGUGUCAAAAUAAGCAAGACUUGAAGCCAUACUGGGGAUGGUAAUUCCCGAGCUGAUGGCGAGGCAGACAACUCUUCGCCACGCAGGCAGCCUCUCAAUAACUUCCUUUGCAAACUCCGGGUCGACAAGAAGGUUUGCAAGAUCAUUGUUUCUAUCAUAGGCCUUCUUGAUUUGGUCUAGAAACACAGCCCGGAUUAUGCAACCACCUUUCCAAAUCCUCGCCAGUUCGCCCAACUUCAGGUCCCAACCCUUCUCGAUGCUCUUUGCGCGGAUAACAUUCAUUCCCUGUGCAUAACUACAUAUUUUGGAUGCAUAAAGAGCUUGCCUCACAUCAUCAAUCAGCUUCGCUUUGUCCACCACUUGAUCAGUCGUGAUAUCACCGAAGCUGCUCGAUGGAAAGACUUUGGAAGCUUUUACCCUUUCCUCCUUCAAACCACUGAGGAAUCUUGAAUCCAAGGAAGAUGCAAUUGUGGGAGCUGCAACAGAUAGGUCAGCUGCUUGCUGUACAGUCCAUUUACCAGUACCCUUCAUGCCAGUUAUGUCCAAAACUUUGUCAACCAAAUACCCCUCGUCUCCCUUGUCAUCUUUGACACCAAAUAUAUCUGCAGUGAUUUCAAUUAAGAAGCUCAAAAGCUCCCCCUUGUUCCAUUCUGAGAAAACAUGCUUUAGUUCUUGGUUCGACAACUUUCCAACCGAUUUCAGCACAUCAUAAGCCUCUGAAAUCAGCUGCAUAUCACCAUAUUCGAUUCCAUUAUGAACCGUUUUAACAAAAUUGCCAGACCCUCCUUUCCCAAUGUAAGUAACACAGGGGCCACUGUCUGGAUCAACUUGAGCUGCUAUCUUGAGAAGAAUGUCUUCGACAUAUUUGUAAGCCUCAAAGGACCCUCCUGGCAUCAAAGAGGGUCCCAGUCAUGCACCUUCCUCCCCACCUGAAACCCCCAUUCCAAGGUAAAGCAGACCCAAUUCCGCCAUUGCCUGCUCUCUCCUCUCAGUGUUCUCAUACCACUCGUUACCGCCAUCGAUUAUACAAUCACCUUUCUCCAUGUAAACGGAGAGGGUCUUGAUGGUUUGGUCGACCGGAUCCCCAGCCUUAAUCAGCAUGAUUAUAAUCCGAGGUUUUUGGAUUGAAAGAACAAAGGAUUUGGGAGCAUGGAAGCCAAACAAUGGAAGAUCUCCUUCCUUCUUAGCUCGUUCAACCGUCGAAUUGACUUCGGAAUUAAGUCGACUGUGAACAGAAAUGGGAUAACCUUUCUCUGCAAUGUUAAGUGCCAAGUUUUGGCCCAUGACACCAAGACCUGCCAUGCCAAUCCUGGUAAGGUUUGAGGAUGGAGGUGCCAUUUUAUGCCCUGUCCAGAGUUUAAAUUUACAAGUGAGGUAAGACAAACUCUUCAUAAAAAUGAAUUUUAGUUCGAAAAUUUUAUGUGGAGGCAUAGAUUUCGAGCAAUAGAUUUAGAAUUGGGUGAAUUCAAACAUGUGUUAAAUUUCAUUGAGUUUCACAAAAUACUUCAUGCCAUGCUCUCAAGUGCAUCUUUAGGCAUUGCUUGAAAUGGAAAGAUACGUAAAUCACAUCAUCUGUGGUUCUUGUUCUUAAACAAAUAUCACAAUUCUAAAAGAAAGGUGCAUUUUGUUA